CUCGGAUCUCACCAGAUCUCUCACCAGAUCUGUGAGGAUUUCACCAGAUCGAUGAAGGUAACCUCCUUUUCUCUCUCUCUCUCUCUCAAAUUCAUAAACAACCGCGGGGUGCUGUACAAUCGAUUUUAGGGUUUGCCAUUUCAUAAACAACCGUGGGGUGCUGUACCACUUGAUGUGCGAGAUUGAAGGCAACCACCUCACUGCUGCCGCUAUUAUCGGUCAUGACGGCACCGUUUGGGCUCAAUCCGCUAAUUUCCCUCAGGUUUACACUCUAUUUAUCACUUUCUGUAACCUAAUUUUGUUCACCGAUUGAUUUGUUUGUGUUAAUUAGGUCAUUUGUGCUUCAAUUGAGUUGUUUAAGUCCGAUUGUUGUUGAUUUAGAUUCGGAUCUGAUCCGUUUCGUUACGUACUUGCGUCUCAGUUCAGAUUCGUUUAGGUUUUCGAGGAGUUGAUUUGUUAAUAUGGAUUUACGAUCGAUGAUUCGUUGAUUUCGAUCGGUUUGUAGUGUCGGUUUUGAUGAUUUGAUCUGAUUUUGUUUGUUUAGUGAUAGAUAGAUCAUAGAUAUGAACUUGAUUCUAUUUUUGAUUUUGUGAAGGAUGUACAGUUUCAGAUCUGUGUAACGUUGAAUGAAAAAAAAAGAAAAAAAAUUGCAGUUGAUUUUGAUAGAGCUGUGAACAACUUAUUGAGUGAUGAAAAUAUUAAAUGGUGACAUGCAUGAUAACAUGAGUUGGAUGCUUAGAUCUACAAUAUAUGUCAUUGAAUCUUUAUUUGAGGAUUGGAAGGGGUUUUACUGUUUUAGUUUUAGGAUUGCUUGUUAAAACUUUUUAUCAGUUUAUUUUGUUCCGGUAUACAGUAAGGAGUGUUGAGGAUGUCUGGAUUGCUUAUCGCGAUUGUAAGGGGGUUUAGGAUUGUUUAUUAAACCAUUUUUAUCAGCUUAUCGCGUUUCGAUAUCCAGUAAGCAGUUUUGAGGGUGUUUGGAUUGGAGCUAUGGUUCCAAUAUCGAAAAAGACAAAUGGGGCAAGAUGAUGCAAGAGGCUCUAUGCCUUCUGAUGAGAAGCUCCUCCUAAGGUCCAUGAAGAGACAGGAUCAUCCGAAGCAAAUAUCUUUACCAGGAAAUCUAUAACUAAUUCGAGUCGGAGGACAUUUUAGUUUUAAACCGGCUCAGCAUGCGCAGCCGCAACAGCAGCGAACGCAGCUGCAUCGGCUCAGCAUGCGCAGCCGCAACGGCGCAGCGAGCGCAGCCGCGUCUGUAUCACCGAGCGCAACCCCAACGAGCCCGACGCAGCCGCAUCUGUAUCACCGAGCGCAACCGCAUCUUUAAUACUUGUUUAUUACAGUAGGUUAACUGGCUAACCUUUUUUUUUCUUUUCAGAUAACAAGAAUCGAGUAUGUUCAUUCUAAAGGGAUAUGAAGAAGAUCAGGAGGAUAAUGAAGAAGAGGAAGGAGGACUGAGUCAAUCUGGAAAAGAGUUGAGGAAGCUGCUCGGGAAAAAUAGUGGGGUUAAUGAAUCCGAGCCAGAGCAAGAGGACGAUGACGACGAUGAUAUUGAUGACGAAAGUUCCCUGUUCUUGCACCAAAGGCUAAUAAUAAUGGGGUCCAUCAAAGCUUAAUAACAGCCCUCUUAAAGAGGAACCCGUCGAUAAUAGCCCCUCAAAGCCAGCAGCUGCUACAACAUCAGCUCGGGGAACCCCAUCUUCAAAUAAGUCGGCUAAGGGAAAGCGAAAAAGCACCGAGAGAACAAACCGUCAAAUGGUGCCGCCACAGCUCAAAACCAUGCUUGCCUUCUGAAGAUGAUUUUCCGUAUACGAUACGUGUUGAGAGCAACAUAACCGAAAGUAAUGGAUCUUCAAGGGGUGAUGGAUUUCAUGUCUAUUAUAGGAAAUAAUAGUUCUAAUAUGUGUCACAUUAGAUAAAACUUGUCUGACAGUUAUUUUGACAUAUGCUUUUAUCUUUUUUGUGUGAUGAUGUGAUAGCAUGGCAUCCGUUUGCAGGGGAUGUCUUGCAUUACAAGACGCCGGUGUACCGUUAAAGAGUUCUAUUGCCGGAAUAGCAAUGGGUUUGGUUCUAGACACACAUGAAUCUGGCGGAGAUGGAACACCACUUAUUUUAUCUGACAUCACCGGCUCCGAGGAUGCUUCUGGAGAUAUGGACUUAAAGGUUGCUGGCAAUGAAGAUAGAGUAACAACAUUUCAAAUGGAUAUAAAGGUAGGUGGAAUUAUUUUGUCAACAAUGAAUCAGGCUUUGCUGCAAGCAAAGGAAUGAUAGUGUUGUCUUGAAAAGCUACUACAGCUUGAGAUGGAAAAGGGAGAGAACAUUGCUGCUGAACUGGGCACCGUUUGAAGUUACUUGCGCAAAUUGCAAAAGACGAAUUUUGUACUGCUUCAAACCCAAGAUCCAUGGCUGAACAAUUUACAACAAUGUCAUGCAAAUGGUUUGCCAUCCUCAUGGGUCAAUAAAAGAUUCUUUUUGUUCCACCACCAGCAAGAGAUCCAAGAUUGUUUUUUUGACUUUUGUUUCGUUUACGUAUGGAUUGACUUAGAAAUUGUUGUUUGCUUUACUUAUGAAUUGAUUUUGAAAUGGUUGUUUGAUAUUGUGUUGGCUGCUUCA